AACGCGAAGAACCUUACCUGGUCUUGACAUCCACAGAACCUUGUAGAGAUACGAGGGUGCCUUCGGGAACUGUGAGACAGGUGCUGCAUGGCUGUCGUCAGCUCGUGUUGUGAAAUGUUGGGUUAAGUCCCGCAACGAGCGCAACCCUUAUCCUUUGUUGCCAGCGGUCCGGCCGGGAACUCAAAGGAGACUGCCAGUGAUAAACUGGAGGAAGGUGGGGAUGACGUCAAGUCAUCAUGGCCCUUACGACCAGGGCUACACACGUGCUACAAUGGCGCAUACAAAGAGAAGCGACCUCGCGAGAGCAAGCGGACCUCAUAAAGUGCGUCGUAGUCCGGAUUGGAGUCUGCAACUCGACUCCAUGAAGUCGGAAUCGCUAGUAAUCGUGGAUCAGAAUGCCACGGUGAAUACGUUCCCGGGUCUUGUACACACGC
rnacentral:rRNA from 1 species